ACUUCUGUUUAAAGGGUUGCAGGUGUGCCUGCUGGGUCACCUGUGCAUCAGCAGGUGGCAGAGAGGAGAAAGGCCAUGUCUCUGCUCAGCAUUCUAACUAUGAACAGCUGAAUGAUUAGUAGCCUAUCUUC
ensembl:snoRNA